rnacentral:rRNA from 1 species
UACAGGGGGUGCAAACGUUGCUCGGAAUCAUUGGGCGUAAAGCGCACGUAGGCGGUUCGUUAUGUCGGAUGUGAAAGCCCUUGGCUUAACCGAGGAAGUGCAUCCGAAACUGGCGAGCUAGAGUACUAAAGAGGAUCGCGGAAUUCCCGGUGUAGAGGUGAAAUUCGUAGAUAUCGGGAGGAACACCGGUGGCGAAGGCGGCGAUCUGGACGAUAACUGACGCUGAGACGCGAAAGCGUGGGUAGCAAACAGG